rnacentral:rRNA from 1 species
UACGAAGGGUGCAAGCGUUACUCGGAAUUACUGGGCGUAAAGCGUGCGUAGGUGGUUUGUUAAGUCUGAUGUGAAAGCCCUGGGCUCAACCUGGGAACGGCAUUGGAAACUGGCUUACUAGAGUGCGGUAGAGGGGUGUGGAAUUCCCGGUGUAGCAGUGAAAUGCGUAGAUAUCGGGAGGAACAUCUGUGGCGAAGGCGACACCCUGGACCAGCACUGACACUGAGGCACGAAAGCGAUGGGGAGCAAACAGGG